rnacentral:rRNA from 1 species
UCUGGUGAUCAUAGUGCAAGGGUCACACCCGACUCCAUUCCGAACUCGGAAGUUAAGCCUUGUAACGCCGAUGGUACUUCACGGGAGACUGUGUGGGAGAGUAGGUCGUCACCAGUA